GACGUCGUAAAAUCAUGAAAACGGAUUUGAAGCACCGUGGCACAAAACCGAAGACCUUUAAUUUUCGGAUCGCAGAUCGGAGAUCGUUUGGGUGGUCGCGCGACAGUUCGAGCCAAACCGGGUUGCGGGUGUCGCGGGAGGCCGAUUGCAUGUGUCGACAAGCAAUCAGAACGCGAAUCGAGAGCCGUGACCGAGCGAGCCGGCGGACGACCGCGGUAAGGGCAUCGCGCCCUAGAUAGAGACCACCCGAGAUGGUUUCAUAUUAUGUAGUUGCAUUCCCUUUACUAUCAUCUUUUGUAUUUGAUGAUUCUAGAUGCUUAUGAGUACGAUGUAAAAGAUAUUUACUUUAAAUGUCAAAGGUUAUAUUUUGGAGCAUUGUGAUGUAAAAAGAAAUGAUGAAAGAGCAUGUAAAGGAACUUGAUUGAAGUAGUUGCAUUCCGCCUGAGAUAGAGACCACCCGAGAUGGUUUCAAUAUUA